rnacentral:rRNA from 1 species
CCUACGGGUGGCAGCAGUGAGGAAUAUUGGUCAAUGGGCGCGAGCCUGAACCAGCCAAGUAGCGUGAAGGAUGACUGCCCUACGGGUUGUAAACUUCUUUUAUAAAGGAAUAAAGUGAGGCACGUGUGCCUUUUUGUAUGUACUUUAUGAAUAAGGAUCGGCUAACUCUGUGCCAGCAGCCGCGGUAAUACGGAGGAUUCGAGCGUUAUCCGGAUUUAUUGGGUUUAAAGGGAGCGUAGAUGGGUUGUUAAGUCAGUUGUGAAAGUUUGCGGCUCAACCGUAAAAUUGCAAUUGAUACUGGCAGCCUUGAGUACAGUUGAGGUAGGCGGAAUUCGUGGUGUAGCGGUGAAAUGCUUAGAUAUAACGAAGAACUCCGAUGGCGAAGGCGGCUUACUAGACUGCCACUGACAUUGAUGCGCGAAAGUGUGGGUAUCAAACAGGAUUAGAUACCCGAGUAGUC